rnacentral:rRNA from 1 species
AUUGAACGCUGGCGGCAUGCCUUACACAUGCAAGUCGAACGGCAGCACGGGAGCAAUCCUGGUGGCGAGUGGCGAACGGGUGAGUAAUAUAUCGGAACGUGCCCAGUCGUGGGGGAUAACGCAGCGAAAGCUGUGCUAAUACCGCAUACGAUCUAAGGAUGGAAGCGGGGGAUCGCAAGACCUCGCGCGAUUGGAGCGGCCGAUAUCAGAUUAGCUAGUUGGUGGGGUAAAGGCCCACCAAGGCGACGAUCUGUAGCUGGUCUGAGAGGACGACCAGCCACACUGGAACUGAGACACGGUCCAGACUCCUACGGGAGGCAGCAGUGGGGAAUUUUGGACAAUGGGCGCAAGCCUGAUCCAGCAAUGCCGCGUGCUGGAUGAAGGCCUUCGGGUUGUAAACUGCUUUUGUACGGAACGAAACGGCCCUUUCUAAUACAGGGGGCUAAUGACGGUACCGUAAGAAUAAGCACCGGCUAACUACGUGCCAGCCGCCGCGGUAA